rnacentral:rRNA from 2 species
UGGCGGCGUGCCUAAUACAUGCAAGUCGAACGAACUCUGGUAUUGAUUGGUGCUUGCAUCAUGAUUUACAUUUGAGUGAGUGGCGAACUGGUGAGUAACACGUGGGAAACCUGCCCAGAAGCGGGGGAUAACACCUGGAAACAGAUGCUAAUACCGCAUAACAACUUGGACCGCAUGGUCCGAGCUUGAAAGAUGGCUUCGGCUAUCACUUUUGGAUGGUCCCGCGGCGUAUUAGCUAGAUGGUGGGGUAACGGCUCACCAUGGCAAUGAUACGUAGCCGACCUGAGAGGGUAAUCGGCCACAUUGGGACUGAGACACGGCCCAAACUCCUACGGGAGGCAGCAGUAGGGAAUCUUCCACAAUGGACGAAAGUCUGAUGGAGCAACGCCGCGUGAGUGAAGAAGGGUUUCGGCUCGUAAAACUCUGUUGUUAAAGAAGAACAUAUCUGAGAGUAACUGUUCAGGUAUUGACGGUAUUUAACCAGAAAGCCACGGCUAACUACGUGCCAGCAGCCGCGGUAAUACGUAGGUGGCAAGCGUUGUCCGGAUUUAUUGGGCGUAAAGCGAGCGCAGGCGGUUUUUUAAGUCUGAUGUGAAAGCCUUCGGCUCAACCGAAGAAGUGCAUCGGAAACUGGGAAACUUGAGUGCAGAAGAGGACAGUGGAACUCCAUGUGUAGCGGUGAAAUGCGUAGAUAUAUGGAAGAACACCAGUGGCGAAGGCGGCUGUCUGGUCUGUAACUGACGCUGAGGCUCGAAAGUAUGGGUAGCAAACAGGAUUAGAUACCCUGGUAGUCCAUACCGUAAACGAUGAAUGCUAAGUGUUGGAGGGUUUCCGCCCUUCAGUGCUGCAGCUAACGCAUUAAGCAUUCCGCCUGGGGAGUACGGCCGCAAGGCUGAAACUCAAAGGAAUUGACGGGGGCCCGCACAAGCGGUGGAGCAUGUGGUUUAAUUCGAAGCUACGCGAAGAACCUUACCAGGUCUUGACAUACUAUGCAAAUCUAAGAGAUUAGACGUUCCCUUCGGGGACAUGGAUACAGGUGGUGCAUGGUUGUCGUCAGCUCGUGUCGUGAGAUGUUGGGUUAAGUCCCGCAACGAGCGCAACCCUUAUUAUCAGUUGCCAGCAUUAAGUUGGGCACUCUGGUGAGACUGCCGGUGACAAACCGGAGGAAGGUGGGGAUGACGUCAAAUCAUCAUGCCCCUUAUGACCUGGGCUACACACGUGCUACAAUGGAUGGUACAACGAGUUGCGAACUCGCGAGAGUAAGCUAAUCUCUUAAAGCCAUUCUCAGUUCGGAUUGUAGGCUGCAACUCGCCUACAUGAAGUCGGAAUCGCUAGUAAUCGCGGAUCAGCAUGCCGCGGUGAAUACGUUCCCGGGCCUUGUACACACCGCCCGUCACACCAUGAGAGUUUGUAACACCCAAAGUCGGUGGGGUAACCUUUUAGGAACCAGCCGCCUAAGGUGGGACAGAUGAUU